rnacentral:rRNA from 1 species
CCUGAUCCCAUGCCGAACUCAGAAGUGAAACGCGGUAGCGCCGAUGGUAGUGUGGCAUUCGCCAUGCGAGAGUAGGACACUGCCAGGCA